rnacentral:RNase_P_RNA from 1 species
AGUUAGCCAGACGGUCGCAUGAAAUAUUGAGGAAAGUCCGAGCAUCACAGGGCAAGGGUGCCGGGUAACUCCCGGUGAAGGUGACUUCAAGGAUAGUGCAACAGAAAAUUACCGCCUGCAAAGGUAAGGUUGGAAAUGUGAGGUAAGAGCUCACACGCAAAUUGGCGACAAGGCGCGGUGUAAACCCCACUCGAUGCAAGAACGGAGGCAAAAAAAAGUGGCCCGCAAGCCUCCCAUUCGCUUGAACCGUGCAGAAAUGUACGGUCUAGAUAGAUGGCCGUCAAAUACAGAACUCGGCUUACAGACUAUCUCG